GGGACCCGCUGUGAGGGGCGGGGCGCGAGGAGCCCCCAGGAACCCCGAGAAGCCCUGAGGGCUGACAGACGCGGGGGCCGAGCAGUCCCGCACCGCUUCCUGAGCUACAGGUGCCUGCAGGGGCUGCGGUCCUUGCUCUCAUGUCUGCAUGGGAUGGUUCUGUGCGGCGUACAGACCCCUCCUCACCCACGCUGCCUUCUUUUCACCACAGUCCUGAUUUAACCCCUUAUCCCAUAAGAGUUUCAUCUUUCUCUCCUCCCCUUGUAUUUUUGACCUCCGUGAGAAAGGCGCUGCAGUGACUCUCUACUCGUGACUCAGCCGUGGGUGACAUCUCCCGGUGCCCGCCCUCCUUGUUGUUCCCUUUAAAUCUUCCUUUAAAGCAUCCUCUCAGUUUCAGACCUUCUCGUCGGUCCUCCCCCACAGGCGGUGGUUUACCAGCUUUUCUCUCAUUUUCGUCUCUCUGUUCUCCUGUGAUGCUCUCAAGAAGGAUAACGAUGCCACUGCUGUGUGCUCUUAUCUGCCACCUCACCGGUGCUGCCGCGCUUCUUCCCUCAGAGCUCCCCCGCCCCGGCUGGAAUUUCUCGUCUCUCCGCUGCUCCCUUCCUGAGCGGCCUCUCGGCGUGACUCACAUUCCUGUACAGCAGGACGAUCGGCACUAUAUGUGUCUGCCUAUAGCUCUGGCCUUGCAAUACCUUAAACCAUUGCACAAACCGUGCUUGGUCUUUGUAAGCUCUUCGUACGCUCACGAUGUGAUGAUCUGACGCAGACCAGGUUCGCCAGGGUUCCCAAGAACAGCAAGGCCGUGAGGGACAGGAGAAGGAUCAGUUCUGGUGCUUCUAGGCCAAACUGAUGUUGCUGCUAAAGGAUAAAUGAAGACAGAAAAUGCUUCUUGUUUUUGUGCUUGUCUGAUCUGUCUGACCCCGUGCACACUUAAUCUCAAGCUUGCUUUGAACGAAUGGUGAAAGUCAGCGAGUUUAAAUCUACAUAUUCCAGAAAACCACAAUAACCCCUCUCCAAGCUCCCACGCCCUGUCAUUUCUGCCUUAGAAAAACUUCACCCAUCUGCUGUUUCUGUGUACAAUGCUUUUGCAAACAAGAACUUUGUUAACCUUUAUUUUUAUUAAACAUUCUCACGUGAGGAAAUUAGUGAGGAUUAGAAGUGGUCAGAACAUACUUAGGAAGUAGCAGACAGUAUUCCACUGGAAAAUGUCUUUGUCACAAGUUUUUUCAUCAGCUGCACUCUAUGACAGUUUUGCACACCGGCCACACACACUUCAGGCAUACGGUUAAUCCUAUUAACUUUAAGUGUUUAGAGGAUUACAGACUUAAUUACAGACUAUCUGCAGAGGUCAAACAUCAAAGACUGUUCUGAGCCUGAGUUUUAGCAUUUUCAGGAUGAAUAAUAUACGUGUAAGUUAUCCUUUCCUCUUUCCAUCCGUCAUCCUUUCUGCACUAAGUUACGUGGGUGUACUAAUAAAGCCUUUAUUAGAUAAACUGGAUCGUCCUAAUGUCCAGCAGAUGGGUCCCUAGAUCAUAAACCAGUUAGAUGUCAGCAGAACUGGCAGUGUGUGCUCAAAGGAAGCCCGGGACUUGGAAAACACAGGUUUGAAAGAAUAGAGUUUGCACUGCAUGGUGCCAGCCUACAUUAUAGCUACUUUGGAGUUAAAUUACUGACUUCUAAGAUGUUUUCCUAAUGAUAUAUUAAACAGAAAUGGAAAUCAAGAGUCUCGGGAUGAUAAUUAGCUGGUGUUCACAGUGGGUAAUUUAGACUUCUAACUUAGGUGUCUUUGGCUCCAAAUAGGAAUGUCAGCAAAACUGGGUUGGGGAGUGUCUCCUUCCUUCCCGAAAAGCAGGAUCAAUCGUGUUGAGGUCAUUCCUGACAUAAACGUGUCCAAUCUGUACUUGAGAACUAACAAAACAAGGCUGUCAUGCCCCAUAGUAACCUCUCCCUCUGUUUCCUUAACUGCACCAUGAGAAAGCUUUUCUAGCCUGUAACCCAGAUCUCUGAUGCCCACCAAACCUUUUCAGCAGACGUUUGUUGCUCUCUCCCUUAGGAAUACAGCGUGCAUAUUUAGGGAUGCCCUGCCACAUCUCCCCUUCCUUAGGACAAACCACUACUUUUCCACCAGUGUUUCCUCACAACACUUCUAAUUCUCUAUUCUAGCCAAAGCAGAGUACAGUACACCAACGGGAUGUUUACCAGCCCCAAACAUAACAGGAGAAUGGCUUCAUCUGCCUGUCAAAUGCUCUUUCUUUUUAUAUAUCCCCUGGUGCUGUUUGAUGUUUUUGUUACAGUGUGACGUGGCUGACUCCUGCUUGCUUUGUGACCCAUGCUAACCACACAGUGUGUUUACAUUGUGAUGCCACCAGACCUGUAAUUCCACAACCUGCAUCUGGGAUGUUGGUAAUGCUGCCAAAAGCAAAGAGUGAAAGUACGUCUUUUGAAUUACUUUUUCCCCCUGACCAUACUUUGCCAAGUUCUACAGCAGUAUCCUACUGCACUCGCUGCCCCUCCCAGCAGUGGGUUUGGUACUUAAAUGUGUUAAUGGAAGAGGUUUAACUAGAGAAGUUCAUUGUUUAAUGGCUCAGCUGGACGUGGAAGGGCACAGCUCCCUUACAAGGAAUGCAAGGACAACUGCAGGUGCACACAAAUCUGCGCCUCACCCAGCAGUCAGCCAUGCAGCGCUCUGAGCCUGCAUGUGAGCACUAAAGUCAGUGGGUGAACUCCAUCACAGGGGUGAAGAACUGGGUCCUGUGGACUCCCUAGUAAGUAAGGACGCUACUGAUGGAAGUACAUCUUAGAGGGAAAAGGAAGAAUGAAAUCAGAUCUGCCAGAACUGGAGGGUGAUGAUUCUGAGUAAAAACAGCUGAAG